GUCAUAGCUCGUCUCAAAGAUUAAGCCAUGCAUGUGUAAGUAUAAAUAGUUAACUUUGAAACUGCGAAUGGCUCAUUAUAUCAGUUAUAGUUUAUUUGAUGAAGAAUACUAAUUGGAUAACCGUAGUAAUUCUAGAGCUAAUACAUGUAUAAAGUCUUGUAGACUGCAUUUAUUAGAAUGAAAACCAUAGGUUUCGGCCUAUUCGUGAGUAAUAAUAACUAAUCAUAUCGUAUGCUUAUGUAACGAUGUGUCUUUCAAGUUUCUGCCCUAUCAGCUUUCGAUGGUAGUGUAUUGGACUACCAUGGCAGUAACGGGUAACGAAGAA
rnacentral:rRNA from 1 species